rnacentral:rRNA from 1 species
CCUACGGGAGGCAGCAGUGGGGAAUAUUGCACAAUGGGGGAAACCCUGAUGCAGCGACGCCGCGUGAGUGAUGAAGUAUUUCGGUAUGUAAAGCUCUAUCAGCAGGAACGAGACAAGACGGUACCUGACUAAGAAGCCCCGGCUAACUACGUGCCAGCAGCCGCGGUAAUACGUAGGGGGCAAGCGUUAUCCGGAAUCACUGGGUGUAACGGGAGCGUAGACGGCUGAGCAAGCCUGAAGUGAAAGGCGGGGGCCCAACCCCCGGACUGCUUGGGGAACUGUACGGCUGGAGUGCAGGAGAGGCAAGUGGAAUUCCUAGUGUAGCGGUGAAAUGCGUAGAUAUGAGGAAGAACACCAGUUGCGAAGGCAGCUUACUGGACUGUAACUGACGUUGAGGCUCGAAAGCGUGGGGAGCAAACAGGAUUAGAUACCCUUGUAGUC